CGUCAUCAUCAAUGACUACCAGAAAUGUAUCAAAACAUUAUCUAGUUAGCUGGCUACGCACUAGCGUAUCCUCCAGCUAAAAUAAUACUACAGACUACACUAUGUAAAAUAGUAUCAAUUGAUUAUACACAUGUUUGGAUAGCUGUGCUUUUCGUUAUCGUUAGGCAGUUCGCUAGCUAACGUUAGCUAUAUUACAAAAUAUUCAACUGUCUGCGUUGGAAGAGGUAACGUUAGACAGACGAGCUGUGUGGGAGGAGGCCAAAAGCAGGACGAGAGCGAAGUCGGAGAGGCCGCUUGACACCUGAGGGGAGGGCAUCGAAACGCCAGCCGCAGCCCGGCCUGAGACACGGGUAGCAGGAUAGGGAAGCAGAGCGGAGAGGCCGCCGCCACAGCGGGGCCGGCGGACAAGAUGGCGGGCAGCCCCGAGAAGAGUGUCUCGGCGCAGGAGUGGAAGGAGCAGGGCAACCGCCUCUUCCUCAGCCGCAAGUACCAGGAGUCGGCCGCCUGCUACAGCAAAGCCAUUAAGCGGAAUCCCUCAGUGUCUGUGUACUACACCAACCGGGCACUGUGCCACGUGAAGCUGCAGCAACAUGACAAGGCCCUGGCCGACUGCAAGCAGGCGCUGGAGCUGGACCCCCAGUCAGUCAAGGCCCUCUUCUUCCUGGGUCAGUGUCACCUGGAGAUGGAGAACUACGACGAAGCCAUCGGCAACCUACAGAGAGCAUAUAACCUGGCGAAAGAGCAACGGUUGAACUUUGGCGACGACAUUCCCAGUGCCCUCCGGAUAGCCAAGAAGAAGCGCUGGAACAGCAUCGAGGAGAAGCGCAUUAACCAGGAGAACGAGCUGCACGCCUAUCUCACCAAACUCAUCCUGGCAGAGAAGGAGAGGGAACUGGAUGACAGCAGAGAGGAACAAGACGCCAAGUCGGAGGAAUGCAGAAGCCGACACGACCUCACUAAGUUCCACUCCAAACACGACAAGCACCUGUCAGACAUGGAGGAGCUCUUCUCUCAGCUGGAUGAGAAGAGGAAGAAGAGGGAGAUCCCAGACUACCUGUGUGGAAAGAUCAGCUUUGAGUUGAUGAGGGAGCCCUGCAUUACACCCAGUGGGAUCACUUAUGACCGCAAAGACAUUGAGGAGCACCUACAGCGAGUGGGCCAUUUUGACCCGGUGACACGCAGCCCUCUGACUCAAGACCAGCUGAUCCCUAAUCUGGCCAUGAAAGAGGUCAUCGAUGCUUUCAUCAUGGAGAAUGGAUGGGUGGAGGACUACUGAAGGAGGGAGGGAGAAAGGGAGAGUAGGAAUCAUCAUUCCAAAAGAAGAACCAGACAUAAAAAGACCACAACAAACCAAACAAGUGGUGUCCUGUGUGCCUCAAGUGGAGCUUGAAGUAGAAUAUGGAAGUCAGGCAUCUGAUUGGCUUUGAGAAGGGCUGUCUUCUCUUCAGUAUAACUUACUGCUCGUGGUCUCUUUUGUUUUAAUGAUUCCACGUUUAGAGCCUUAGUCCAAUGGCUGCAAAGCAUGGUUGGAGUCGAUGACAUUUUUCAAGUGACGAUUUUAGAAUGCAAAUUCAUGGAUAAAAAAUAAAGGGGUCAUUUUCAAUUCGACCCCUCAACCCUGCUGCAAACAGAUAAUCAGUUUCCUCUUCUCAUCAUUUCAGAAAUCAUACAUUCCUCUCAGCCAUACGAACCUGUUUGACUUACCAACUGAAAAUGAUUGAAUGUGAAAUGAACCUGUAUAUUCCUACCCUCUGCUGGAUAUGAGGAUGCACAGUUAUGUUGUGUUAGUCUGUCAUGUGUAUCAAUAUUAUGUGUACAUGUAGGGGUGGGGACAUACUCCCCCUAGGCCCUGAUUCCUCCUAAGAGAGGGGUGGGAACAGUCAAGUUUCUCUGGAGCCUCAUUGGGACUGUGAAUGUUCUUUAUUUCACUGUCGUGCUGUUAUGUCUACCAGUGUUCCAAUAAAGGCUACAACAGAG